rnacentral:rRNA from 1 species
GACGAACGCUGGCGGCGUGCUUAACACAUGCAAGUCGAACGGAAAGGCCCAGCUUGCUGGGUGCUCGCGUGGCGAACGGGCGAGUAACACGCGGGUGAUCUGCCUCUAACUUCGGGAUAAGCUUGGGAAACUGGGUCUAGUACCGGAUAGGACAUUCGUUUAGCGUCGGUGGUGGAAAGUUUGUUCGGGUAGUGAUGAGCCCGCGGCCUAUCAGCUUGCUGGUGGGGUAAUGGCCUACCAAGGCGGCGUCCGGUAGCCGACCUGGGAGGGUGGACGGCCACAUUGGGACUGAGGUACGGCCCAGACUCCUACGGGCGGCAGCAGUGGGGAGUAUUGCGCAGCAGGCGCACGCCUGAUGCAGCGACGCCGCGUGGGGGAUGCCGGCCUUCGGGUUGUGAACCUCUGUCGAAGGGGACGAAGCUUUGGUGACGGUACCUGAAUAGGAAGCCCCGGCUAACUACGUG